GAGCUUGCUCCAUGAUUCAGCGGCGGACGGGUGAGUAAUGCCUAGGAAUCUGCCUGGUAGUGGGGGACAACGUUUCGAAAGGAACGCUAAUACCGCAUACGUCCUACGGGAGAAAGUGGGGGAUCUUCGGACCUCACGCUAUCAGAUGAGCCUAGGUCGGAUUAGCUAGUUGGUGAGGUAAAGGCUCACCAAGGCGACGAUCCGUAACUGGUCUGAGAGGAUGAUCAGUCACACUGGAACUGAGACACGGUCCAGACUCCUACGGGAGGCAGCAGUGGGGAAUAUUGGACAAUGGGCGAAAGCCUGAUCCAGCCAUGCCGCGUGUGUGAAGAAGGUCUUCGGAUUGUAAAGCACUUUAAGUUGGGAGGAAGGGCAGUAAGUUAAUACCUUGCUGUUUUGACGUUACCUUCAGAAUAAGCACCGGCUAACUUCGUGCCAGCAGCCGCGGUAAUACGAACGGCGCAAGCGUUAAUCGGAAUUACUGGGCGUAAAGCGCGCUUAGGUGGUUCGUUAAAUUGGAUGUGAAAGCCCCGGGGCUCAGCCUGGGGAACUGCAUCCAAAACUGGGGGAGAUAGAGUAUGGGCAGAGAGUGGGGGGAUUU
rnacentral:rRNA from 1 species